rnacentral:lncRNA from 1 species
GUAAUAUUAAAUAAGAGCUCACUGCUUUUUUCUCCUUAAAGAUAGAAUAUUAACUUCUGAGGUCAGAGUCAGCUGCUAUCGGUGUGGGGACAAAAACAAAACUGACAACAGGUAAUUUUUUACGUCGUCGUUGCUUUCAGCUGCACCACCCUGAACACGCCCGAUUACAGGUCAGGUGGUGCGGAAGGAGCAAACGGGAGCUUUGAGACAGCCUUUGAUUUGUUUGGUUUAUUUGAGUCAAUCCACUAUUUUUUUCCUUAUUAAAGUAGUGUUUUUUGUCGCACCCCGCGAUCCUCGGACUGUCGGGGAUGGACACCACGGAGACAAACCCAGGAAGGAUACGGGUCCACGCCAUGGCCCAGGAAAACGGACUAAAUCAAUAAACGAACAUGACUGGAAAAGACAACAAAACAUGUGCGAUGUUUUGUUGUCAUGUUUUCCAUCUUUUCCAGUCAUGUUCGUUAGGAGGGGGAGAGCAACGUCACAGGUCGGAGUCAGAAAACAAAUCAAGUAUAAAAAGGUCUGGAAAGGAGAUGACAGUGAUGGUGCAACUAAAAGGUGUGUAGGCUGGAGGAUGUUUGCUGACCCAGUGGCUUCGACACUGCAGAGAUCCUAACAAGAGAAAGGGGCUGGAACCAGUCUGAAUGACAUCCAUAUGAAGGCCCUCUAUCAGAUGCACGUCCGGGACAAGAAAGAGCACCAGCAGCCGACCGGGCGUGGGGAGUGCAUCUGGGCCACCUUAGGGAGAAACAUGGCCCCGUGGGUACAUCCAUAGCACGGACUUCAGAUUCAGGAAAACACAUCCAGGGAUUGUGCUCCACCAGGUAAACCAAGAAACCUCUGGCACUCAUCCCGUUCCUGAGAAGGCUGAGGACCCAGCUCAGGAACAAAACAGAUGCAGUGUGAACAAGGAGGAAGAGUGGAGGCUGUUCCUCUUUGGGGACGCUACAAACAGCAAAGGAAAGGCCAUAAUAAACCUCAUCAGAUAAUUUGCA